rnacentral:rRNA from 1 species
AUGCUUUAUGCGUGUGUGUGUGUCAGACCAGCUAGUUGUGCCAUGUUAAUUAAUUGCUAUUCCAGUAUGAAUUUUGAGAGUAAGACUGUAGUUGAUGCCUUGAACUUGCCUUUGAUUGAACAUUCAGAACCAUACGAGUUUUGGUUGACGGACAAGUUUGAUCAAGAUCAUGCAUCACGUCGAAGUAGUUUCCCUUUAUGCGGAUAUGGUGAUCUAGUCGUGUGUGAUGUGCUUCCUAUGCAUAUGCAUGUGUGUUCUAUACUGUUGAGAAAACCCUGGACAGACUUGAGACAAUUAAGUUAG